GAUGGACCCUCCUUCUCUCAGAGUAUAAAGAGGGGCAGGGAGAGAUUUGGGGAAGCUCUGCCUCAGCUGUGAGCACAGAAGGCAGGACUCGGGACAAUCUUCAUCAUGACCCGGUCCUCUCUCCUCCUCACCCUUCUCAUUCACUGCACAGGCUCCUGGGCCCAGUCGGUGCUGACACAGCCGCCCUCAGUGUCCGCGGACCCAGGACAGAAGGUCACCAUCUCCUGCUCUGGAAGCAGCUCCAACAUUGGGAGAAAAUAUGUAUCCUGGUACCAGCAGGUCCCAGGAACAGCCCCCAAACUCCUCAUCUAUGAAAAUAAUAAGCGACCCUCAGGGAUUUCUGAACGAUUCUCUGGCUCCAAGUCUGGCACUUCAGCCACCCUGAGCAUCACUGGACUCCAGACUGGAGAUGAGGCUGAUUAUUACUGCGAAACAUGGGAUAACAGUCUGAAUGGUCCCACAGUGCUCCAGAGCCCAGGCGGGGAACUGAGACAAAGAACCCCCCUUCCUCCUCUGCCAGGAGGGACAGAGUUAGAGGGAACCAACCCCAACCCUUGCAAACUGCUCGUCACCUCUCCGUGCCCCAGUGAGGAGAAGAAA